UCAAGCGAAAGUCUGAGUACUUCUGUAAUUAGUGGCACACGUGAUAUAUCUAAUCCUGGCAGUUCACCUAAAACUGUUGGCUAAUGUCCGUUUAUUUGACAUGUGCUGUUUUCAGACUAGAGCAAAUCCAGGCUUAGUGUUUUUCUCUAAACUAUACAGGAAUGGAGAUCACGACAUCGUAUUUCAUGCCAUUUAAAAUUCUUCCUGGACAUAUUUGCCUGAAUGUUUUUCCUGUCCACAUAUGGAAACUGUGCUGCAUAUGCUUUCUUAAAUAGACCUCUUUCCCUCUGCGUUUUAGAAUUUCAUAGAAUCUUCGAUCACACUGUUUGAAUCUGACCUAGAAAGCGGGAAGUUUAUUGACAUUACGAAUCAGGAAAUUUCUGACUUAGAAGAAAUCGGCUUUGGCCGUGAAACAAGAUCCAUUCAUGUGAAGAGUGGCGCAUGGGUUGCCUACCACCAGAAGUUCUUCUGUGGAGAUCAGUACAUCUUAGAGAAAGGAAAAUACAAAUGCUUUUUUGAUUGGGGAGGCUCAAGUAACAUAAUCUUGUCAAUCCGACCGAUCCAACUGGAACCGCUUGGGAUAAAUGAGCCUCCACACUUGGUAUGUUUCAAAGUAUUCUUAACUCAUCAUCGCUGGCAUGUUUACCUGAAACAUUUACACUUUCUCAAAUCUUUCUCUUUCUCAAAGCUCAAGAUAAGCUUUAUGUU
rnacentral:lncRNA from 1 species